GGGCAUCGCUGACCCGGUCUCGGGCCGGGAUGUUCACAACCCUUUGUUGUCCGACUCUGUUGCCUCCGGGGCGACCCUGCCUCCGGGCGGGGGCCCCGGGUGGACAUUUCAAACUCUUGCGUAACUUUGCAGUCUGAGUAAAUUUAAUUAAUAAAUUAAAACUUUCAACAACGGAUCUCUUGGUUCUGGCAUCGAUGAAGAACGCAGCGAAAUGCGAUAAGUAAUGUGAAUUGCAGAAUUCAGUGAAUCAUCGAAUCUUUGAACGCACAUUGCGCCCCCUGGUAUUCCGGGGGGCAUGCCUGUUCGAGCGUCAUUUCACCACUCAAGCCUCGCUUGGUAUUGGGCGACGCGGUCCGCCGCGCGCCUCAAAUCGACCGGCUGGGUCUUUCGUCCCCUCAGCGUUGUGGAAACUAUUCGCUAAAGGGUGCCGCGGGAGGCCACGCCGUAAAACAACCCCAUUUCUAAGGUUGACCUCGGAUCAGGUAGGGAUACCCGCUGAACUUAAGCAUAUCAAUAAGUGGAGGAAA
rnacentral:rRNA from 1 species